rnacentral:lncRNA from 1 species
UUCUUUGAAGUUUUCAACUAUGUGUGAUGAAUUAACUCCUAGGAUGACUAGCUACCUAGAAGGCUCCCUUUCUUCUUGUCUUUUUGCACAUGCAAAUAGUUGAAAACUAAAGAAAACCAGUAAUUUUGCACAUGCAAUAGUAGUGAAUCUUUUUGUUGUAUUUUCUUAGUAUCUUUUUCCUUCCUUGUACUGAGAUAUCGUACAAUGGGAUAGACAUUAAUGUUUUUUUGUAUUGCAAUAACUCCAACUACUAGUUUCCUUUGAAGUUUUCAACUAUGUGUGAUGAAUUAACUCCUAGUAUGACUAGUUACCUAGAAGUUUCCCUUUUUUCUUGUCUUUUUGCACGUGCAAAUAGUUGAAAACUAAAGAAAACCAGUAAUUUCGUAUUCGACAUAUUUGUGAAGAUUCGAGCAGAGCGCGGAGUUUCACUCUCUCAAGACUGUAAGUCCACAUCAGAGUAGGAUCCUUGUAACAGCCUCUUUUUAAAUGUCACAUCUCUUUCUGUCUCUGGUGCAGAUAUAGAAUAGCUUCUCUACUCGAGAAGCUACGAAAGGAAAAUCUAGAGCUUCUGACCGAAACGGAAAGGGGUACAGAGUUUUUAAACCUCAAAAAGCACAAGGUAAAACUCUUGUUUCUCGAGCUUUUGUUUCUGGACGUAAUGUGAAGAUAUUGGUGAAAUUUUAGUAAACUUGCGUUUACCGUGUUAUUUCUAGUGAUUGGUUAAACAGUGUGACAUUUUUAAAUAGACUCCACAAAUUUCUUUUUCUUAGUUUGGGUUUUCGUCAGUUUUUAUCAGUUGGAUUUCAGGUUAUCAAAAAAUCAGUUAAUUUUUGGCUUUUGUUAAACUUAACAGCUCCGACGGUGAUCCCUGUAACACGGUUAAAGCCGUUGCAUAAAUUUAACAAAAUCGAACUAUUUCAAAUCAAGACAAUUUGCGGGGCCUGUUUUGAAAUCCUCUGUAGUUGAGGGGGAUCUUACAUUCAUUUUUACCAUAUGAGAAGUGGUCCUCUCUGUGUAGUUGAGAGUUUCUGACAGUGUAUGUGUCUUAAUUAUCUGAAAUAGAUUGUUGCAGAAGCAGUGAAAGCAACAGAUCAACUUGGGCAGCUGGAUCAUUUGGAUGUGUUUACAUUAUGGUCUCGGCGUAGUUUUCAAAAUAGCUGUUUUAGAUAGAGAAAUAGUAGUCAGGUGUUUGACAAGUAAAAGUUCGAAAGCUUCUGCCGUAGCAGAAAGCUGGAAUGAACGUCCGAGUCUUAAAGGAGAAGCAUUAGUUAGAACUUCAUGUUCUAGGGGAAUUUCAAAUGAGUUGUAUCACUUUUUCCCUUAGUAGCAAUUGUUAGUAGUUGAGAGAGUAGGUUUCAUAUAGGGAAAAUGCCAUGGGCCAAAUGAAGGGA